rnacentral:rRNA from 1 species
AUACGUAGGGGGCGAGCGUUGUCCGGAAUGAUUGGGCGUAAAGGGCGCGUAGGCGGCGCGGUAAGUCUGGAGUGAAAGUCCUGCUUUCAAGGUGGGAAUUGCUUUGGAUACUGCCGCGCUUGAGUGCAGGAGAGGUUAUCGGAAUUCCCGGUGUAGCGGUGAAAUGCGUAGAGAUCGGGAGGAACACCAGUGGCGAAGGCGGGUAACUGGACUGCAACUGACGCUGAGGCGCGAAAGUGUGGGGAGCAAACAGGAUUAGAUACCCUGGUAGUCCACACUGUAAACGAUGAAUGCUAGGUGUAAGAGGUAUCGACCCCUUUUGUGCCGGAGUCAACACAAUAAGCAUUCCGCGUGGGGAGUGCGGCCGCAAGGUUGAAACUCAAAGGAAUUGGCGGGG